rnacentral:rRNA from 1 species
CUGCUGCCUUCCGUAGGAGUCUGGGCCGUCUCUCAGUCCCAAUGUGGCCGUCCACCCUCUCAGGCCGGCUACUGAUCGUUGCUUUGGUGGGCCGUUACCCCGCCAACUGGCUAAUCAGACGCGGGCCCAUCCCAUACCACCGGAGUUUUUCACACUGCGCCAUGCGGCGCUGUGCGCUUAUGCGGUAUUAGCAGCCGUUUCCGGCUGUUAUCCCCCUGUAUGGGGCAGGUUGCCCACGCGUUACUCACCCGUCCG